CCUUAAUACCAUACAGCUCUUUCGGUAGCAAUGUGGAGCUUGUGAUGAAGGUGGUCAAACUCUCCUAUUCAAUGGCUUCAGUUUCGCCCAUCCAAUCCCUUAAUACCAUACAGCUCUUUCGGUAGCAAUGUGGAGCUUGUGAUGAAGGUGGUCAAACUCUCCUACUCAAUGGCUGCAGUUUCACCCAUCCAAUCCCUUAAUACCAUACAGCUCUUCCGGUAGCAAUGUGGAGCUUGCGAUGAAGGUGGUCAAACUCUCCUAUUCAAUGGCUUCAGUUUCGCCCAUCCAAUCCCUCUUUUACAAGCAGCGACAAGCUAAAAGUAAAACUGAAGAUUAGUCGAGAUAUCACAAGCCGAUCUCUGACGGUAGAUGCAACGGAACAUAACACAAUUGCUGGAAUUAUUAUUAUUACUAUUAUUAUUAUUGUUAUUAUUAUAUAUCGUAAACGGCGGAGUCGGAAGGGAUAAUCUGUACCCCCGACGCACCUAUGACACAGAGAAUUGAGGAUAUUAACGUAAAAUGGAUGAAUUCUGAUGAAAAAUGGUUGAAAAUUCACUGAGGGGCAUAUUCCUAAGACAUCUCAGGACUGACUUACACAUACCACUGACCUCACUGCCCCUAACACUGCCCUGGGUCACUAUGGGGUAAGCGGGUGACUGUCUAACUUAAGGGCCGGGUCCACGGUAUAUUUUUGGGGGGUUGGAUGUUAUGAAAAAAAUUACCGUAAAGAAAUAAAAUAAAAAAAAGAUAAAGAAAA